rnacentral:rRNA from 1 species
UACAGAGGUCUCAAGCGUUGUUCGGAUUCAUUGGGCGUAAAGGGUGCGUAGGUGGCGGGGGUUAGUCAGGUGUGAAAUCUCGGAGCUCAACUCCGAAACUGCACUUGAUACUGCCUUGCUAGAGUACUGGAGAGGAGAUUGGAAUUUACGGUGUAGCAGUGAAAUGCGUAGAUAUCGUAAGGAAGACCAGUGGCGAAGGCGAAUCUCUGGACAGUUACUGACACUGAGGCACGAAGGCCAGGGGAGCAAACGGG